rnacentral:lncRNA from 1 species
AAGAAGUCAGGCCAGAUUAAGCCAUAGUACGGAAAGAGCUAUGCUGCCUGUGAGCCCCGUCCAAGGACGUAAAAUGAAGUCAGGCCGAAAGCCACGGAUUGAGCAAGCCGUGCUGCCUGUGGCUCCAU